rnacentral:rRNA from 1 species
CCUACGGGUGGCAGCAGUAGGGAAUAUUGGGCAAUGGGCGCAAGCCUGAACCAGCAACGCCGCGUGAACGAAGAAGGCCUUCGGGUCGUAAACUUCUUUUGACAGGGAAGAGCAGAAGACGGUACCUGUCGUAUAAGCCACGGCUCACUACGUGCCAGCAGCCGCGGUAACACGUAGGUGGCAAGCGUUGUCCGGAUUUACUGGGUGGAAUGGGCGGGUAGGCGGGCUGGUAAGUCAGAUGUGAAAUCCGGGGGCUCAACCCGCGAACUGCAUUUGAAACUGUUGGUCUGGAGUAUCGGAGAGGCAGGCGGAAUUCCUGGUGUAGCGGUGAAAUGCGUAGAUAUUAGGAAGAACACCAGUGGCGAAGGCGGCCUGCUGGACGACAACUGACGGUGAGGCGCGAAAGCGUGGGGAGCAAACAGGAUUAGAUACCCCAGUAGUC